CAAAACUUAUUUCGAGAUUAUGCCGACAAAAUGUAGUAACAAUUUCCCGCAGUGCAUUUCUUCAGAAAUAAAUGCUAUAAAUCAGACACAGUAUCUACGCAGCUCCUCUCUCGCACACUUUCAUUACAUCCACGAUCCAUCCUGCUUUGGCACACGAUUGCCUCAUGAAGCAUCCACUGCACAAUAGCACGAUCAGGCCAGAGUGGUUGAAACGAAGCUGGUGAUCGGUCAGUUAUUUAGAGUGUUGGCCAGUAAAAAAAUGCCUAACCAGGAAAAUCUAUAGGUGCAUGCAAAAAACCUAAGUGCUUCGGUCACACCUCGAAAUCUAAGUGCUGAAUCACAAAAGGUUGACUACGACGCCACGUGCGUGACACAUGCAAGUGCACCACGAUUUACCGCGAUUCGUCGUAGGGUUUGGCCAGUUUCUUUACAUGAACGACUCGUUUGACACCGCAAAAUCACCAAGAUUAACUACCAGAGAGCCAUCGGAUAGUUCAACCACAAGCCGUAGGGGCACCCUUGGAGAACAAUAGGUAAUACCUUUCGCCAUGAAUGACGCUCUGUGCUUAUGAUCGUUAUGUGGUCUUGCAGCCCCAUUUUUGCAUGUGCAUUCGGAUUACACGGACCGUUGUGAACCCCAGUCAAAGAGGCCCUUCGUAAGGUAAACUCUCACAUUCAAAAUUGUAGUAGAAUCGGGGAAUUAACUCACCCUCGCGUCUCCUUCGUAGGAGGGCCUUUUGUCCGUAGCCUAGAACCGUCCCAAGCGACCGUGACGACGAUUGCCGUUGAUCACUACUCCCAGACAUCAUAACCGCAGGGUUGCUGAUUUCCGCAGGCGUGUGCGACGUUGCGACCAUCGCCGACAAGUGCACCUCACUAGCUCGUCGUCGUCGGGCGAACGAAGAACCCUGCGUCACCAUAGUGCAAUGCCCGCGACAUGCGUGCUUGACGCGUGACAGAGGAAGUGCAACACAGUCUCGCUGCAGAGAGACUUCGCGACAACGGACUUGUCGCGCGACAGCCCUAGUGCAUUGGCGGUGCGAGAGAGUGGAGCCGAUCGCAGAGCAUUGCGACAUUCGAGCCGUAAGGCGACGUAACAUACCCAUUCGGCGGGACGUUCGAGAUGCAGUCGGCGCGACAUCACGGGGCCCCCAACGUAGUUCAUCAACAUCAGCGGUUAUAGGGCAGUGCCGAGCUUAGGAGAUGACUGUAUGUAUCUAGUAUAUAAGCAUAAAUGAAGUAGACAAGAAAUGAGCAGCAAAUAUUCUCCCAUUAUACUGAAUUCACGCCGAAUUAUUCAUGUAGUUUUUUGAU